GGAACUACCAACGUCUUACACAGCUUUUAAACAGUAAAUAAUAUUGCGAACACACAGGUGGUAUUCGCAAAUAUAUAUUUUACAUCUUGAAAGCACAACAACCUUCUUCUAUAUCUGUCCUAUUAUUGUCUAACGAAAUCUACAAAAGAAUAAAGAAAAUGACUGAUUAAGAAUCAUCUGUACCGUCACCAUCAAUAUCAUCGUCAUCCUGAUACAUGUUCAUAAGCACAUUUAUCUGGCUUUGCAACAUAGCAUUUUGCCUCUCUACAUCAGCACGCUUGCUUCUUUCUUCUAGCAGCUGUAUUUGCAGAUGUUCCAGGCAUUGAGCAUCUGCUUCUAGCUGUUCAUUCAGACCAUCGAUUUCGCGAUCCUUUCUAUUCAUUUCCUGUAGAGCGAUUCUUCGCAUACUUUCAACAACAUCCACAUUUACAAGCUUCCGUCUCUUUCCAGCCAGCCAACCUUUGGGGUAACAUGCAGCAUCAAAGUCUGGUGGGGGUAGCAAAGUUUCAGCUGAUGGCCUACGGCCAUUUGCAUUUGUAACCGGCUCCAAUGGUUCAAAGAGUGCCUUCCUACGCUCUGAAAGUUCAGUAGAGGGCUGCGAUUCCUGCAUCUUUUCAUCAGCUGGAGACUCAUCUUGCUUUUGAGGUGUUUCAUCAGCUGGAGACUCUUCUUGCUUUUGAGGCGUUUCCAAGUUCUUCACACCGGCUACUAGGCGAAGCAUUUCCUUAGCAUGAUAAAUGUAUGAUAUACAAAAUAUGAAUUGUAUGAACUGUGUAUUGAUUGGGCUUAUAGUCAUCACUCUAUUAUCUUUAUGGAACAAGACAUUAAACAGGACUAAAAUAUCAGAAGUAAGUUCUCCAAACAAAAUAUUAGUUAUGUUCAGAUAUUCUUGACUAUUUCAACAAUUACAACAUACUCAAUAUAAAUCCAUAAGUGAGGUCUGGAGAGGGUUACGCAAGCCUUACCCCUACACCUUGGGAGCUAGAGAGACUGUUUCUGAUAGACCUUCGAC
rnacentral:misc_RNA from 1 species